GCAAGUUUUCCUUAUCAGGGUAUCAUUGCAACCUGUGUAUCUGCUCUACCUGUACCUAUGUAUGCACCACAGUAUGUCAAAAUACUGAAAAGAAAGGGUGUCAGCCUGCCCAUUUAUUGAGUCUGAGCUCAUCACAGAAAGAUGGAUGUCUCAUUGUCAUUCCAGACCAUACAAGCGGCAUGUUGGUGCAAUGAUAACAAGUGACUUGAAAGCUAAAGAAGAUGGAGACCUCCAGGAAAAGGAGACUCAGAGGUGACCUCACCACUCUCUACAACUUCCUGAAAGGUGGUUGUAGCCAGGUGGGGGUUGGUCUCUUUCUCCAGGCAACAGCUGACAGAAUGAGGGAACACAGUCUCAAGCUGCACCAAGGGAA